rnacentral:lncRNA from 10 species
AGACCAACCUGGGCAACAUAGCAAGACCCCCGUCUCUACAAAAUUAAAACAUUAGCUAGGCAUGGUGGAGUGUGCCUGUAGUCCUAGCUACUAUGGAGGCUGAAGUGGGAGGAUAGCUUAAGCCCAGGAGGUUGAGGCUGCAAUGAGCCACAACUGUGUCACUGCACUCCAGACUUGGUGACACAGUGAGACCCAGUCUAAAAAAAAAGAAAAAGAAAAUCCCAGCUACAGUCUUUGUACCAGCAGUACCUAACAAAGUGUUUUCUACAUAGAAACUGAAUUGAAGGUUGGGCAACUGAGCGAGACCCUGUCUCAAAAAAAUAAAAAUAAACAACUUUUUGGUAGCUUAAAUAGUAUGAAAAAAAGGAAACAGGCAGGCAGGGUGUGGUGGCUCACGCCUGUAAUCCCAACACUUUGGGAAGCCGAGGCGGGUGGAUCACCUGAGGUCAGGAGUUUGAGACCAGCCUGGCCAACAUGGUGAAACCCCGUCUCUACUAAAAAUACAAAAAUUAGCCAGGUGUGGUGGCAGGCGCCUGUAAUCCCAGCUACUCGGGAAGCUGAGGCAGGAGAAUUGCUUGAACCCGGGAGGCAGAGGUUGCAGUGAGUCGAGAUCGCGCCAUCGCACUCCAGCCCGGGGGACAAGAGCGAGACUUCGUCUCAAAAAAAAAAAAAAAAAAGAAAGAAACUGAAUUGAAUUAAAAGAUGCUGACAGAUCUCUUUAAUUAUAGAUGUCAAUGUGAUCUUUCACAAGCACACUGAAAAAUUCACACCGUGGAAAAGAACUAAAGUCCCAUCCUAAUUCAUCAGAGCCUUCUGUUUCCUGUAACAAAGAAGAACUCACAAGAUCAGGAUUCCAAGGUAUAUAUCUAGAAGUGGAAGUGCUGGGUUAUACGCUUCUUGUAUAGAAGAUACCUAAAAAGUGUUUGCUGAAUGAAGAAAUAAAGGAUUGCUCAGGCACCACUGGCACUUUAAGUUGUUCAGCAAGUACUCGUGCCUCUUAAGAACUGGCCAAGGGCCGGGCGUGGUGGUUCAUGCCUGUAAUCCCAGCAUUUUGGGACGCCGAGGCGGGCAGAUCACGAAGUCAGGAGUUCGAGACCAGCGUGGCCAACGUGGUGAAACCCCAUCUCUACUAAAAAUACAAAAACUUAGCCGGGUGUGGUGGCCUGCGCCUGUAGUCCCAGCUACUCGGGAGGCUGAGGCACAAGAAUUGCUUGAACCCACGAGGAGGAGCUUGCAGUAAGCCGAGAUCGCGCCAUUGCACUCCAGCCUGGGCAACAGGGCAAGACUCUGUCCUGAAAGAAAAAAAAAAAAAAAAAAAAAAAGAACUGGCCGAGGUCUUAGCUGGAGCACUCUCUCUACCCUGCAUGUUUGACUGCAUUUCUGUCCAUUUUCAAUCCGUUUUGGUUAUACGUUUUUUCACACAGGUCUGUUGAACUUAGAACACCGAAGGCCUGUGUAUUUUCAUGGCUCACAGCUCAUGUUGUGUUGACCUGCCCCACUGUGGUUAAUGUUUAGCCCCUAAACCACCAGCUGAAUGUCCUUAAAUCUGAAAGAAUAAUGAACACACGCCAACAGAUAGCUUAGGUUUAUUUGGUGACUUGCGCCACAUACUUUGCGAAUAUCAUCUCAGUCAUCCUUUUAGCAUCUCUCUCAGGCACAUACUCUCCUCUGUGGUGGCUCAUGCCGGUAAUCCCAGCCCUUUGGGAGGCCGAGGCGGGCAGAUCACUUGAGGCAAGGAGUUCGAGACCAGCCUGGCCAACACGGUGAAACCCCAUCUCUACUAAAAAUACAAAAAUUAGCCGGCUAUGGUGGCAUGCGCCUGUAAUCCCAGCUGCUCGAGAGGCUGAGGCAGGAGAAUCAUUUGAACCCAGGAGGCAGAGGUUGCAGUGAGCCUAGACUGCACCAUUGCACUUCAGCCUGGGUGAGACCCCAUCUCAAAUCAAUCAAUCAAUCAAUCAAUCAAUCAAUCAAUAAGGGAAAAGCUAUCACACAGCAGAAUACAGUCCAAGGGUAACUACUGAAGGGCCAGAUCAAGGAGCAAAGUCUAUCAUGUAUCAACCUUUACAGUGUCCCCAAGGGUCAGCUGUGUAUAGGGGCCCACACAGAAUUUGGAAUCCAAAUACAUCUCUGGAUCCCCAGGCCUGUGUUUGACUCGCCAGGUAGUAAUGAGAUGUCUCCAUUUUCUGCAGGCUGAAUGAUUCCCUCAGAGCAGAAGUAUAAGCAUAUUUAUUGUUUUUCCUUCUAUCAUAAACAGUUAUUAGUUGUGGCCCUUUCUCCCUUCCAAAUAGGUGCCCAAAUUUCUGGAAGUGGAAAGGGCCCAACUUUCCCAUAUCAGGGGGUGGGCCCCACUGGGCGUGAGCCAAUCAGUGUCUUCUGUCCUGUGAGCUCCCGAUUUAUGCUGGUCUAUAACCUGAGAUGGCCUUCUCAGGAUGGACCUCCAGGGAUUGCUGGAACUUGGACUCUUGUCAGCCUGGUAAAUGGUAUGUCUUAGAUCUGCUGCAGCCGUCGUGGAAAACUUGAAGCUGCCAGGAGAGAGGGGUUCCAACAUGUGGUGGCUAAAGAAUGAAUCCAACUCAAAGGAAGCAGAGCCAAGAAAUGGAUCCAUGCUGUUUGAAUCUUGGAUCAAAUUGUGCCUGGAUCUCCAGUGAGACAAUAAAUUCCUGUAUUACUCAAGCCUAUUUGAGAUUGUUUUCUUUCACUUGAAACAUUAAACUUUUAAAUUGAUACACCCUAGUUAAAUUAUAAACUGUGUGACA